AACGAACGCUGGCGGUGUGCCUCAUACAUGCAAGUCGUACGCGAAUCCUGCCGCAAGGCAGGGUUUGAGUGGCAAACGGGUGCGUAACACGUAGGUAAUCUUCCUUUGAGUUGGGGAUAAGCCCUCGAAAGGGGGUCUAAUACCGAAUAACACUUCGGGCCGGCAUCGGCCUGAAAUUAAAGAUGGCCUCUGCUUGCAAGCUAUCGCUCGGAGAUGAGCCUGCGGCCGAUUAGUUAGUUGGCGGGAUAAAAGCCCACCAAGACUUCGAUCGGUAGCCGGUCUGAGAGGAUGUCCGGCCACACUGGGACUGAGAUACGGCCCAGACUCC
rnacentral:rRNA from 1 species